rnacentral:rRNA from 1 species
CACUAGAAGAGAAAGACUUUUAGCAAUACCUGCCCAGUGCGAAAUAUUACUGUAAACGGCCGCCCUAGCGUGAGGGUGCUAAGGUAGCGAAAUUCCUUGCCUUUUGAUUGUAGGCCUGCAUGAAUGGUUUAACGAGGGUUUAACUGUCUCUUGAUUUAAAAUUGAAAUUGUACUGAAGGUGAAGAUACCUUCAUUAAAAAGUCAGACAAAAAGACCCCGUGCAACUUUGAAAAUUAACUUUAUUCAGAAGUGAAAGAUUUUUAGGUGGGGCGCCUAGAAAGUAAAUCUAACCUUUCUGAAACAUUUAGUUCUUUCCGGACUUGACCCGAUUAUAUUCGAUCAUAGGAGAAGUUACGCCGGGGAUAACAGGCUAAUCCUUUAGUAGAGCUCGUAUUGGCUAAAGGGAUUGGCACCUCGAUGUUGAAUCAGGGAUGAUAGCUUCAAGGCGUAGAGGCUUUGAGAGUAGGUCUGUUCGACCUUUAAUACCCU